GACGAACCGUCCAAACGUUAUUCGGAAUCACUGGGCUUAAAGGGUGCGUAGGCGGCCAUGUAAGUGGGGUGUGAAAUCCCUCGGCUCAACCGAGGAACUGCGCUCCAUACUGCAUGGCUUGAGGGAGACAGGGGUAAGCGGAACUGAUGGUGGAGCGGUGAAAUGCGUUGAUAUCAUCAGGAACACCGGUGGCGAAAGCGGCUUACUGGGUCUCUUCUGACGCUGAGGUACGAAAGCUAGGGGAGCGAACGGG
rnacentral:rRNA from 1 species